CGUCAUACAUUUUGGAACAGAGGUGGUAACUUUUAUAAAAUCUCUGCUUCAACAAAUGAUGUAGAUGUAUAAAUUUUUACAUCACCUGCUUCAAGUGAUGUAAAAUACAACACUAUCACCAACCAUUGAAGAUGUAAACUCAGAUGUAAAACGGACAACCACGCGCUAACCGUCAACCGCCAUUUUUUUAUCCCAAACCCACCGCGUGACCACCCCCCACCUCCCGCCGCACAACCGUCGCACCGCCCGCUGCACAGCCACAACCGCCAGAUUCGGCCUCCCACCCAUCCCUCCCCGCCGGUUCUGCCCCAUUUCGGCCGCCCCGCUUUUUUGCCGCGCCGCCGCCCGGUUCGAGCUCCGCCGCCCCGGCCUGCCUCAGUCGAAGCUCGUUCGCCGCCCAAUUCGAGCUCUGUCGGGCCGCCCUGCCGCAUUUGAAGCUCGGCCACCGACGCGUUUCGAGCUCCGUUGCCGCUCCGACCGGCUCCUCGUCUCGAUUCGACGCUCGGCCGCCGACGCCCGUCUCAACUCAAUGCUCGGCCGCCGACGGCCGUCUCAGGUGAUGUAAAUGACUUUUAUUGGAGAUGCUUUAAGCUCAGUAGCGACGGCUUGUACAGUCAAGGCCUCAUGGCAUAUGACGCGUGUCGUCCGUUCCUUUGCACACCGAGCUUCCUCCUAUAUAGGAGCUGAAACGCAUUGACAAAAUUCUACGCGGCUCUCCCCGCCCCGGAAAUGAAGAUCCGACUGCAAAAGUAGGCCUGUGGAACCUUAACGAAGAAUGCUGAUUGGGGGAAACAAGGAGAUACUUUAUGCUUAAAUCUGAGGAGCAGGUAAUAUUUGAUGCUUAAGAUUGACAAUUAAGGAGAUGUUUAAGCAAAAUUUUGGAGAUGGGCCGCUGUUGAGGGGAAGCGGUGCCACUGUAUUCCUGUACCGCGUAUGCUGUAUUUUUGGGCCGUAUCUAUGUACGCACAUGUUGUGUCGGGGGAUGGUCGUCGGUGGUGAGGGGGGUCGCCGGAUCCACGCAUGUGGAUCGUUUUACUCACUCGUAGUCUAGGUUUUUAGGUUGUUCAUCGUCUUUGCUUCGGCGGCGACGAUGACAUCGCUGAAUAAGAUUCUUCGGAUCCUUCCCUGACGAGGCCAUCGGUUCUAUGGUUGGGGAUGAAUUUAGAAACCAGUCUGUUCAAGCAAGAAUGGCGUGGCGGCGGCGGCAUCCUUGUGGUGGACCUGUGUCCUCGGGCUUCGCCGUUGCGACGAUGUUUGCUCCCGCGUCGGCACGGAGCUUGGGAGGUAGUCCAGGAGCGGAUGCAGAUUGUGGUCUGCAUCGACGACAUCUGGAAGAUGGAGCAUGUGCUGGGCUCGUGGUUCGUAGAUGUCAGGUAUGGUUUCCUCCUUCGGCAUUUUAGUCAUGGUGGGGUGCCAGAUCUGGAGUUUGAUGGCGUGUCCAGAGUGUUGCCCCGGUCUGAUUCGUUCAACAGCAUGGGCUUCACUUUUGGUGAGCCACCUUGGAGGUCCGCAAAGCUGCAUAUCAGCGAUGGAGCCGCGUCGAGCUCGGGUGAGGAGGUGAUUCGUCAUUCUUUUCUUCGGUGGCUGCUGUGGUGGUGCCGGAGGCAGGUGACGGGCGUUGGUGUCAAGCUCAAAGAUGUUCUGCUAUCUUUUCAGUUUUGUCAUGUCGGUCUUUACGCGAUUUGUACUUUGUUCUUUAUAAUAUGAAUGUGACACGUAUUACCAUGCAAAAAAAGAUGGGCCACCCUUGGUUUUCGAAGAUGAAGUCGUAGAACUACCAAACUUAAGUAGUCCACGUGGUGGCCACGACGGGCGGCCAGGCGUGGCCGCGCAAGUUGGCCGAGGCCGCGGAUCUGGCGGGUCCAGCGCAUUUGUGAGGUGCGGCCGCUGCUGCACCAUGAGGUGGAGCCGGUGGACGUCAACCAGGGGAUUGUGUGCUGUGCACUGCUUCAGAUCUGCUCGGAUUCAGAGGUGUGGAAGAGCUCCGGGCAAAAGUCCAGCACUGAUUUUGGGUCGGUGCCGGCAACAACGGCGCCAUGGCCAUGGUGUCAUUCCCCUUCUUGAAGGUGUUGUCGUGGAGCUCCAUUACACGACUCUCCGGAAGACAUCUCUAGCUUCGGAUGGUCGAAGCGGGCGAUGACGGCGACUACGUCGUUUCCUUCUUUGAGGCAUCGCCUUGGAGAGUCAGCAUAUUGCGGUUUGCACGGAUCUCUUCGUCGGCGUGGACUACAGUGGACGUCGGGGCGGCGGCUCCGGGUGGUUUCUGAUUGUGCGCCGAGAUGGCAAUCUCGGGAACAAUGUGAGUGGCAGGUCUAUGAGGUGGGCUCUAUCUCGACAUUGGUUGGGUGGCAUCCUUGUCGCUUGGGCGGUGGGGGUGUCGGCUCGGUCGAUGCGCCCUAGAGGGGGCGGUAUGACCUUAUGUCGGGGCGGUGGCCCCGGAAGUGGUGCGACGUUCGUGGUCUGCGAGCGGUUGUCUUGUGCAGCGUGGGCUGUGCGGCAUUGCUGCUCAAGGGGAGCGGUGGUAUGUCGGGAUGGCGGCCUGGAAGGCGGUGCCGAUGAAGUGUGCUGGGCGCGACGAGCGGUGGAUGUCAGGGCGGCGGCCCCGAGAGGAUCACUGUGGCGGCUAGGCUUCUGUGGCAACGGUAAUGGUGGGAGCGAUAUCAGCGACACGGCAAUGGUUGCAAUAGCCGGCUCUUCUCCGGCGUAUCCACGGUAUUGCCUAAAAUCCUGUGAUUAUUCCUGGAUGAAUAAUUAGAACUUCCAUUGCUAUAUGGCUCACCGGUAGUUCUGGAACAAGCCCGCUUGUCAUCUGCUUUGCGUGAUAUUUGGCCGGCUCAUAUAGCAAUGGAAGUUCUAACUAACUGAUUCUUACCCCAAAAAAAUAACUGAUUCUUAAAAAGAAAAUUCCUAAUUAGCUUCCCCGAUCAGUCCUAAAAUCCUGUGAUUGUUCUUGGGUGAAUAGCUCAUGUGCGACACAUUUGACGUGAAUUGGAAAGCACGCGAUGUCGUUCAUGAAAAUAGCUCACGUGCGAUGCUUUAGAUGGCAACAAUAGCUCCUAAGCGACCAGGCCCUCUUUAACCCUAAACCGCAAGAGACAAGGGGUUAGCUCGGGUGUGUUGGCCCACCACUUUUCCACCUCAGCGUGGGAGCCACAACUAAUCCACAUGCGUGCGGGUCCCACAACUUAUCCACAUCAGUGUAACCCAUUACAAGGGCACCCGAUCCAGCCCCCGGCCCGUUCCCAUGCCAUUGCAUUGCCUGACCCUCUUCCCUUUCCUUCCCCCACCCUGUUCUUCUUCUUCUCCGGCGAUGAAGCAUAGCAAUGCCGGCCGGCGAGAGAUGUCUAGCUCCAGUUCGGCCUCCCGCCCAUCAUGGCCGCAGUAUGGUCUAGUGCCGUUGACAAGAUGCCCCGACUGCCCACGCAAGGAGCCUCUGAAGCGACUGACCUGUGUGAAGGAAGACCAUGGCAACCGUGGGCGCGAGUUCAUCAAGUGCGAGAGCAGGCCAUAGCCGGUGCAGGUCCUGAAGAAAUGCGGGCAUUUCGAGUGGCUCGAUGCGUACAUUGAGAGGCUACAAUUGGAUGGAUUAAUUGGCGGAAACUAGGAGCUCAAUUCGGGGCCGCUUGCUGUGGAGCCAGUGGAGAAUUUGGCGGACAGAGCCGUUCCGAUGAUGGGCAAUGCUGAACUGAAGGGAGAAUUGAAGAAAAUAAGUAAGCAACUGAAGCAGUAAGAAAAUCUGAUGGCUGGAGGAUUUUAUUGCUGUAUCAUUGCUAUGGAUUUCUUUUACUUGAUGUACAUCAAUCGCUAGAAAUUGUUUGAGUUUCAGUUAAUGUGUUGUUUGAGUUUCAGUUAAUGUGUUUAGCUAGUAGUAAUUUUUUCAGUUACAGUUUGGGCAUCAUGCCUGGAUCAUUUGCAUCCCCUGAUGAAUAAAAUGUAGCAAAUCGCUCAAGUAUGUCUUCUUUGUUGCAAACUUGCAAUUCUUCAAUUAAUAGAGAGUGCCCAACUUGCAGUUCUUCA